AUGGACACCAUUCUCCCUAAAAAUACUGUUUCGGAGGAUAUUGAUGUUUAUCCAGUCAGACAGACUCUAUCAUGGAUUCAGUAUCCACCUGUCAUAACAUAUCAUAUCUUGGCUGUGGUCAUUUUUUUUAUUUUCUUUCUCUUCGGGAAGUGGAUACGAGGGAAGGGUCAGUUUGUAGUUUGGGUAAAGAUAACUGUAAUGGUCUGCGUAGAACAACAUAACUUCGGUUAUUGGUUAUUUGACAGCACACUUGUCAAAUUUCUUAAUAAGACUAGAAAAAGAGGAUCUAUUCAGUUUUGCAGAAAUGUGGACACACUCAUCAGAUGGCAUAUCAGGUCUACUAAUAUAAAUGCACGUGUACAGUAUACAGUACUCACAGACACAAUGUAGGAUAUUCAUCAAGUAUGAAAUCAAUGUGGCAGGUGACCAUAAAGGAGAAGAGGCCAUGUUGGAAAUACUAAAAGGCCACAUUUGUUUUUUAAUCCCAAGGUAGAUGAUUGAAAUCUAUCACACUGCCACACUCAAUUCACUCUUCCUCACACACACACACACACACACACACACACACACACACACACUGCAAACAGAAAUCAGCUACCAUCUACCAGUUUGUCUACAGUACACGGAAUAGCUUUUGGCUUCGGCAGAAGACAAUAUGCAACACAAACAUAAUAAAUGCAUAAAUAGAUGGCUAAAUAAAUGAAUGCACUGAUUAUAACUUUAUCCCCUGCAAGUUUUAGGAUGGACAAUAAAAACAGUGACAAAGCUCUGGGUUCUCCUAAUAGAAUUUGAAUCGAUUACAAGUCUUUGAAGCCAGUUGGAAGGCUACUGUGCAGUGCAUGGACAACACGUUGAAUUCUAACAGCCUUUACAAGCAUCAUUUUUAAUGUUGUAAGGUAAGCUAAAGAGGAUAAUGGAUGUUUGUAGUGUCAUAUCAUUAGCCAUCCUGUAAGGCCGACACAGACAUACUCAUCAGACAUAUUCAGACCCUCUGUGUUUCUAGGUAAAGGUGUAAAGAUCUGUACCUCAACACAGCUAUAGAGGGACAGAUUGCGUGCCUGGUCACAGAUCAGUGCUCUUGCCAACUCCAUGUUUGACAAUUCCAUAAGGAGUUGUCAAGAGAACAGAAACAGUCUGCAGCCCUGGCUGAUGUACGAUGAUAAAAGUGGUCAGAUGACACAUCAGAAUACUACAAGACAGGGGUGCACAACUCCAGUCCGUAAUCCUGCUGAGUUUCCUUCCAUCCUGGCACUUAACUGAUGCACUACUGUCACUGAUUGGCCAGAGAGUGCACCUACAGUAUUUAUACAAGUCAAUCUCUGAUUAAAAGGCAAGGAGGAAAAUCGGCCUUUGCUGCAGCCAUCCAGGACCUUAGUUGUGCACCCCUACUUUAAGACUACCGUUGAGUCACAAAUGGCACCCUUUUUCCUAUAAAGUACACAACCUUUGACCAGAGCCCUAUGGGCCCUCGUCAAAAGUAGUGCAUUAUGUACGGAAAAGGGUGCCAUUUAGGAUGCAACCUAUAUCUAAGGGACUGGGUAUCUUCGAAACACAGGAAGCGGGAGGAGCCACUAACAGUUACAAGCGGACUGCUGGAGCGGCGGGGCGCUGUCUGUCAGUUUGGCGCUAGGUGUUCCCGUGGUAACGGCAGGAUCAGUGUCCAGGCUCUCGGACAUCCUGUCACAGAUGAUGUCAACGAGGCGUUCAAAGGUCUGCUUGACAUUGAUGUUGUCCUUGGCACUCGUUUCAAAGAACUCAAAACCUGCGGAGGGAUAGCGAGGGAGAAGAGAGAAAUAGUAUAUGAACAUCGUAGAUGUUGUUGACAAGAAGUUAAUUGUCUACAUUCAGAAAUCUCUUGACAAUGACUAAGUGAAAAUGAAAGCCUGUCAAAUACUGUACGUUAUGUAUACAAUAAGUCAAUGAACUUACAAAAGCCCAUGUAGGUACCGGUGCUGUGAAUCAGUAUGAGCUAACGCAUUAUAAUGCUUCGUAUCUGACUGUUGACCAUUCGAUGUGUUCAUUAUUUUAUCUCUGCCACUAUAAAGUGUCCCUGAUCAAUCAAAUGAUAGCAGCUCACCGAGUUGUUCUGCCAGCUGUCUCCCGCUGUCUGCAGCCACCACCCUCUCCUCCUCCAUGUCACACUUGUUCCCAGCCAGCACCACCUGGGCGUUGUCCCAAGAAUAG
rnacentral:lncRNA from 13 species